CUUUGGGACGAUCGUUGUAACGAUUCACACAGUCGAAUAGUAAGCGUAAAGUUAAACGGUAGUAUCGAGCGAGCAACGAUUACGAUCUCUAUAUUUGUGCUUAAAGUGAUUUUAAGGUAAUUAACUAUUACAAUUUGAUCGCUCGUUUCUUUAUUAAACAAACAAACACGUUUAAUAUUCACGCGAAACUGAACUCUUAACACUUCAACUUUUAAUUGUGAAUAUCGACCGGCAACUUCAAUUUAUUCUCAUCAUACUUCGACUUGCAAGUUUUUAACUGUCAGAUUUGAAACGCUACAGUGACGUGCAAGGAAUAACAUUAAAAUCAUUCAAAACAAUAUUCAUCUGAGAAGUGUCACAGUACUCACUGACGAGUAUUAUUUUUUGUUUGUAAACAAUUACCGAUAACGGGCGAAAAAUACAUUUGCAUCGUACAUUGGUGGUGCUUGAGAGGCACACUUGGAGCGUUACGUUUUAAUCUCACCACGAAGAAAGAAAGAAAAUUCGCAUGUGGUGGCGGAGCCGGAUAUGGUCGUCCUCGAUAGGCGUCUGACUGGAGGCGGGAAGAGGUGGCUGCGGGCCAUCGGAAAUCGCUGGAAUCGCGACCCUUAUCGCCUUAUUAGAGAGGGGCAACUUGCAUGGCGUCCUAAGCCGGACGCGGCGUGGCGCUGCGGCAAGUUUAUCGGCCGCUUGUAUCAGCGUACUCACGCUCCCUUUCAUGGUCUUUAAACCGGCGCACUUAGCAUGGCCCGUCAUUAUUUAACGUUGAUGUUGGUGUUCGAUUUGAAGAAGUGGAUCGGAAGUCUGCUAAAGUGAAGACAAGCAAUCUGUGCGUAUCCUCUGUGAGGAUGAUUUUUAUUCAGACAUUUUUAUUCGGCCAGCGUAGGAAUAAAAUGGAACGGAAAGACAAACAGCAGCGGUCGCGUGUGAGUGAGCCACGGGAAUGUAAUUAAUGAGCAGUUUGGCGGUCGGCCGGACAGCUGUCCCGUUUUUUUUUUCUAACCCAGCGAUGGACGGAGUCGCGGUACCGAGAACAGCAGAACGAGAAACGUGAAAACCUUGCGUGGAAGCGGUCUAGAAGACGCGUCUUCGGACGCGGCGGAAGGAACAAGAUGGAUUGCCUGACACUACCGGACAAGAUCAAUUGAAUUUCUAUUUGGACGUAACCGAGACCCGUUUGCCUCUAACCCCACCUUCUUUAUCCACCACCAAGUCCCCCUUACCGCGACAGCCAAACUCUAAUUCUUCUUCUACCGGUUGUCCACGUCACGAUAAUUGUAGAAAGUGAUCUACUGCAACUUGAUUCCUUCGUCCCCUAACUGAUUCGUCGGUUAUUUAAUAAUAGUCAUUUUGUUAAUUUACAAAUGCUGUUGAAAUAGUUUCAUUGAUGUUUGGUAUUUGAUCUGGAUUAUAAAUUUUAAAUUGCAAACAUGUACUUUCUUUAUUAGAUAAAUUCUAUAUUAGAUCUUCUUCUAUAUUACAUAUUAGAUUAAUUCCUUUAUGUUUUUAUUACGUUUAUUAUUACUCAAUUCUUGUUAGUUUUGAAAUAUGAUCUAAUAUAAUCAUUUUAAGUCUUUUUACCUAUGGUGUGUUUGCAGGUGAAAGUUUAUUUUCUAUCCAACUGCGUUUUUCUAUUAUAUAAUUUCUGAGAAAAAUAUGGCAAAUGCUGAGCAACUGUGAUUUCUAGUUUUUUUAAUAACUGCAGCAUGAAGAUUUGAAAAUUGCAACAGGGUGAAGAACAGGUGGAAUUGUAUUUUUUAUCCAACUGCGUUUUUCUAUUAUCCAAUUUGUGAGAAGAAUAUAGCAGAUGGUAAGUAACUGUGAUUUAUAAUUUUUUUAAUAACUGCAGGAUGAACAUUUGAAAAUUGCAACAGGGUGAAGAACAGGUGGAAUUGUAUUUUCUAUCCAACUGCGUUUUUCUAUUAUCCAGUUUGUGAGAAGAAUAUAGCAGAUGGUAAAAUUGUAUUUUCUAUCCAACUGCGUUUUUCUAUUAUCCAAUUUGUGAGAAGAAUAUAGCAGAUGGUGAGUAACUGUGAUUUAUAGUUUUUUUAAUAACUGCAGCAUGAAGAUUUGAAAAUUGCAACAGGGUGAAGAACAGGUGGAAUUGUAUUUUCUACCCAACUGCAUUUUUCUAUUGAUACACAAUUACUGAGAAAAAUAUGGCAGAUCAGUGAAUAACCGUGAUUUCUGUUUUUUUUUUUUUUUUUAAUAACUGGAGCAUGAAGAUUUGAAAAUUGCAACAGGGUUAAGAAAGGGCAGCAAGUAUAAUAAAUAUAAAUAUCAAAGUAACCAGACCUGCAAUUCGUUUCAAUCUCUAAGAACCCGGAGAACGUAGGUGAUUGUGCUAAUAACUCGUUCGACAAUUUCGCUCGAAUAAACAGUUUCUGCAAGAUAUAAAUAAAAAGGUACGAGUAUUAUAUUCCUCAACUAUGGUGAGAUAGCCGAGUGAUAAUAAAUGGGUUUGAAAGUAGCUGCCUAAUUACUUCCUCGGACACCGCACGAACUCGCGAUGCAACCGUUGAUAUUGCUACGUACUUUUUCCUUUUUCCUGAGCCCCGCGCUGGCUACCGGUUUUACAGCGACCGUUGAAUUUAACUGUCUAUUAAUUAAUGCGGGCCGAUUAAUUUCCGUCACGGCAUAAAAACGCAGUUCCAUGGAAAAUUAUGAUGGCGCAAGGUCUCGCCUCCGCGCCAUUUCCCUACGAUUCGUAUGUCAUCGAACCAUCGUUCUACAGAUCCAUGUGAAAAAUACCGACAUGUUGCGGGUAUUUCGUUUCGGGAAACUAGAAAAGAGGAGUAAAAUAAAAUUGUUUACAAGCUGAAAAAUAAACCUCCAAGGACGUGUUUGCUUGAUGUCUACAAUUCACCCUGUACGUAAAUAUCCAUCAAAUAUUUCACCACAUCCUGUACAAGUACAGAGCUAGAGGGAAUUAAGCUAAAGCACGUAACAACUGCGUUAAAUCAAAUUCAACGUUGGGAUUAAUACUGAAAUGAGGAUGAGUAUGAAAUAAAAACUUGGCAGAAACUUAAUAGAAAGGAAUAAUCAAAAUUUAGUAUGAAGUCCUGUAUUAUUUUUUGCUGUGUCUAUGAAAUAAGGGUACAGCGUGAACAUGGAGCAGCAAAGGAACAUAAGCGCGCAACGCGAGCAUGACGUCGACAUAAACGCCAGAGAGGGCAAACAAAAUUUUCAAAAGUUAUAUUCUCAUGAUCUCCUACUGAUCUGAAAUAAGAAAUUACUUUGAUUUAUGUACCCCCUAAAGUUCUUCGUUCCAAUAGUAUAAUACUCUUUUCUUUUGCUUCUGAAACAAUUGUAAUUUCCUAGUAUAUUCGUGUCCUUUUGCCAAAGUAGGAAAGCUCGUUUGAAGCGAAAACCGCGGAAAGUCGCCGGCAUGCACCAGGCAACACGCGGUUCAAUGUAUCAUUAGGUAGUCAUUGCGAUCACCGUGGGUCCCGUUGGUACACGCACGAUCCGACGGACACGUAGGUAAGCCAUCCUGGCUUCAUUCACGUCAGAUGCGAGGCGACCACGUCAUUUAUCUGCCAACCAUUCCGGCUAACGAUGCAUUGCCGGUUUGUUGGUCGAGCGUCCUGGUAUCCUCGUGUUCCCUGCACGAGCUGCGUCUGGAAUUUCCAUCUUUUUUUAUGAUGCCUCUCAAACAAUUCUUUUGCACUUAAGGAGAGUACGUGGAGGUUAAUUAUGAGCAAUUUCUAUGAAGACCAGGAUUCCUUGUAUUUAUGCUAAUCAACACGGAUCAUGAUACUUGAAACCAAAUUUGUUGGAUCUUUGAGUACAUAUACAUGUAUAUUAACAUUAGAUCUUGCAAUAUUAAAAGUGCACUUUUGCAACCAGGAAUUAUUUAUUUACAAAUGCUGUUACAUGUUAUAUAUUUUUUUUGCAGGCAAAUUUUACUGCUCGUUCACACCAAUGCGCAGCGUCCACGUUGCCUUUCAGUAUCUUUCAGAAAGAUACGAAGAAGAGACUCUUAGCGUCUUAUC